rnacentral:ncRNA from 1 species
CAUAAGCUCCCAAGCAGUGGGAGGAAAAUGAUAUCUCUAACCACAUGCCUGUUGAAGAAUGAGCCGACAACUUAUAGGUAGUGGCUUGGGGAAUGUGGACACAGGUGGUGCAAGGAUGUCCUCAACUCAUGCCGUAAGGGGUUGGGUUAAGUCUUGCAAUGAGCACAACCCUCAUGUUUAGUUUUCAACAUUGAAUGUGGAACCCUGAACAGACUGUCGGUGAUAAGCCAGAGGAAGGUGAGGAUGAUGUCAAGUCAUCAUUCCCCUUACACCCAGGGUGACAGAUGUUCUACAAUGACCUGGAAAAAGGGUCGUGACCCCGCGAGGGAAAGCUAACCUCAAAAACCCAACCUCAGUUCAGAUUGCAUGCUGCAAAUCGCUUGCAUGAAGCCAUAAUCACUAGUAAUCAGUGGUCAACCAUACAAAAAUGAAUUCUAUCAUGAGCCUUG